GCUUAGAGAGGGGUCAGUGUCCUAUCAGCUAGUUGGUAAGGUAAUGGCUUACCAAGGCUAAGACGGGUAGCCGGCCUGAGAGGGUGGUCGGCCACACUGGGACUGAGACACUGCCCAGACUCCUACGGGAGGCUGCAGUCGAGAAUCUUUCGCAAUGCCCGAAAGGGUGACGAAGCGACGCCGCGUGUGGGAAGAAGGCCUUCGGGUUGUAAACCACUGUCGGGAGUUAAGAAAUGUAAGGGUGUUAAUAGCAUCCUUACUUGACUAAGGCUCCGGAGGAAGCCACGGCUAACUCUGUGCCAGCAGCCGCGGUAAUACAGAGGCGGCAAGCGUUGUUCGGAAUUAUUGGGCGUAAAGAGCACGUAGGCGGCUUUGUAAGUCAGUUGUGAAAGCCUUCCGCUUAACGGAAGAACAGCAUCUGAUACUGCAAGGCUAGAGUGCGGAAGGG
rnacentral:rRNA from 1 species